GAUGAACGCUGGCGGCGUGCCUAAUACAUGCAAGUCGAGCGAACGGACGAGAAGCUUGCUUCUCUGAUGUUAGCGGCGGACGGGUGAGUAACACGUGGAUAACCUACCUAUAAGACUGGGAUAACUUCGGGAAACCGGAGCUAAUACCGGAUAAUAUUUUGAACCGCAUGGUUCAAAAGUGAAAGACGGUCUUGCUGUCACUUAUAGAUGGAUCCGCGCUGCAUUAGCUAGUUGGUAAGGUAACGGCUUACCAAGGCAACGAUGCAUAGCCGACCUGAGAGGGUGAUCGCACACGCGAGAACGGAACCCGGUGCAAGCCACCGACGGGGGGCACAAGGAGGAAUGUUUCCGAAGUGGCGGAAGACCGGAAGAAUCAGCGCGGGGUGAGUAGUAAAGGUCUUGGGAUCUAAAAACUUGUUUAUGGGGGAAAAAAAUAGGGCAAAGAAACUGUCCACAUCUGGACGUAACAUAACAAAAAGGCCCGGGCAAACCACGUC
rnacentral:rRNA from 1 species